GACCGGAUAGCCUAGCAGUAAAGGCAUCACAUUGACAAUGCUGAGGUCCCAGGUUCAAAUCCUGGUCUAGUCC
rnacentral:tRNA from 1 species